UUCGUAAGCCUAUUAGCCAACAGCAACAUGAGGUUCCACUCAACCUACAGUCUAAAUUUGGCAAUUCAGAAGAUAAGGUUUCAAAAUUGGGUUAUUGCCCUUCCUCCACAAAUACCCAACAAGGUUUUGGCACAAAAAUCAAUCAUCCAGAAUCUCAGAAAGAGUCCUCCAUCAAACUAGUUACUGAAGGACUCGGGAUAGUAACACAAGUAAAAGAAGAAGUACCUUGUGCUGAUAUUCUAAAACCAGAUACCUCUACCUGGAGCAAAAAAUGAAUUUGUUGCAUGGAACCAACCGGAAAAAUCAUCCUUUUCGACCAAUAAAUUACCAUCUGUGCAUUCGGAAAUGGAAGAAAUAUAUGCUUUCACAAAUGCCAAGAACAAAUCAGGAUUGAAUUCUACUUCAGAUACAGCGAGCGCUCUUGGACUAUCGACACAACCGACUGUCAAAAUGCAUCCUUUAGAUCAAGCGCAAACACCACUAGCUAAAAAUCUGACGUGGACUGGACAUUCAUCAUUUAGUACAACCAAAACACGACAAUCAUCCCUAGUUUCGUUAGCUUCGACUUCGAAGACUGAAAUGCAUAACGAUGAACAAAAACUAUCACUCGGCAUUUUAUUACCCAAAGUACAGGCCAAUUUUCAAUCUAGCAAGCUCUAAACCUCCGCAGCCAAUACCUAUUCAACUAGUGGUAAGCGUCGUGGCAGAAGUUCAACCAAUUGAUCCCAUCCAACAUCAUGUAGAGCAACAAAGCAAAUUAAUUCCCCCAGUUUCCAGCAGCAAUAUUUUACCCCCUCCAAUUGCUCGACCGACUCCGAAAACCAAGCAGAUAGCAGUUAACGGCAAGGUACUGAACCAAGAAUGACAUAUUUGCCUUAAAAGUUGUUCGUCUUGAUUCCGUUGAUGAAGUCACAGCUGAAGGCUAUAUUAAUGAAAUCCGGCUGUUGAAACAACUACAAGGUUUGCCUCGCGUCGUCCGCCUUCUUGAAUACGAGUACAACGAAGAAGAAGAGAAAUUGUUGUUGGUAAUGGAAAAAGGUGAUACCGACUUCGCAACUGUCAUCCGGACUCGCACCAGUCUCAACGCCAUCAACCCUACCCUGAUUCGCUUUUACUGGCAGGAAAUGUUAGAAGCUGUGAAAGAGAUUCAUGACAAGAAUGUGAUUCAUACAGAUCUGAAACCGACUAACUUUCUUUUGGUCAAUGGAGGCUUAAAGUUGAUCGACUUCGGUAUUGCCACUUCUAUCCAGGCCGACAUGACGUCGAUAAUGAAGGACAGCCAGUGCGGC